rnacentral:rRNA from 1 species
AACGUAGGAGGCUAGCGUUAUCCGGAUUUAUUGGGCGUAAAGCGCGUGCAGGCGGUUUGAUAAGUUGGAUGUGAAAUCUCCCGGCUUAACUGGGAGCGGUCGUUCAAAACUAUCAGACUAGAGAAUGGGAGAGGAAGGUGGAAUUCCGGGUGUAGUGGUGAAAUGCGUAGAUAUCCGGAGGAACACCAGUGGCGAAAGCGGCCUUCUAGACCAUUUCUGACGCUAAGACGCGAAAGCUAGGGUAGCAAACGGGAUUAGAAACCCUCGUAGUCC